UGAGGAAUUUUGCGCAAUGGGAGAGAUCCUGACGCAGCAACGCCGCGUGAGUGAUGAAGGCCUUCGGGUCGUAAAGCUCUGUCAGGUGGGAAGAACGUCACGCAUGUGAAUAAUGUGUGUGAGUGACGGUACCACCAGAGGAAGCACCGGCUAACUCCGUGCCAGCAGCCGCGGUAAUACGGAGGGUGCGAGCGUUAUUCGGAAUUACUGGGCGUAAAGGGCGUGUAGGCGGCACUACAAGUCUGUUGUGAAAGCCCUGGGCUUAACCUGGGAAGUGCAUUGGAAACUGUAGUGCUUGAGUUCUGGAGAGGAAGGGGGAAUUCCCGGUGUAGAGGUGAAAUUCGUAGAGAUCGGGAGGAAUACCAGUGGCGAAGGCGCCCUUCUGGACGGAUACUGACGC
rnacentral:rRNA from 1 species